CCUACGGGUGGCUGCAGUGAGGAAUAUUGGUCAAUGGCCGCAAGCCUGAACCAGCCAAGUCGCGUGAAGGAUGACGGACCUAUGGUUUGUAAACUUCUUUUAUAAGGGAAUAAAGUUAUCCACGUGUGCCUUUUUGUAUGUACUUUAUGAAUAAGCAUCGGCUAACUCCGUGCCAGCAGCCGCGGUAAUACGGAGGAUGCGAGCGUUAUCCGGAUUUAUUGGGUUUAAAGGGUGCGUAGGUGGUUUGUUAAGUCAGUUGUGAAAGUUUGUGGCUCAACCAUAAAAUUGCAAGUGAUACUGGCAGACUUGAGUAUAGUUGAGGUAGGCGGAAUGCGUGGUGUAGCGGUGAAAUGCAUAGAUAUCACGCAGAACUCCGAUUGCGAAGGCAGCUUACUAAGCUACAACUGACACUGAUGCACGAAAGUGUGGUGAUCAAACAGGAUUAGAUACCCGAGUAGUC
rnacentral:rRNA from 1 species